rnacentral:miRNA from 1 species
CUGAGAAGCACAAAGGAAUGA